CGCCAGCUUCCGGCGUCACUUCCGGCGCGCCGUCCGGCGACGAGCAUGGCGACAUUGAGCUGUGUCCGCUGGCUGACCCGAGCGGUGGUCUCCGCCCGAAAUCCUGGGGCAUGGCGAGGUCUGAGUACCUCUGCUACUGCUCAGGCCGCGACGCCGAGCCAGGCCCAAGACUUGAGGGUGGAGGGAGCCUUUCCAGUGACGAUGCUGCCUGGAGAUGGCGUGGGUCCGGAGCUCAUGCACGCGGUCAAGGAGGUGUUCAAGGCUGCCGCUGUCCCGGUGGAGUUCCAGGAGCACCACCUGAGUGAGGUGCAGAAUAUGGCCUCUGAGGAGAAGCUGGAGCAGGUGCUGAGUUCUAUGAAGGAGAACAAGGUGGCUAUCAUUGGAAAGAUCCAUACCCCAAUGGAGUAUAAAGGGGAACUAGCUUCCUAUGAUAUGCGACUGAGGCGUAAGUUGGACUUGUUUGCCAAUGUAGUCCACGUGAAGUCACUUCCUGGGUACAAGACCCGGCACAACAAUCUAGACCUGGUGAUCAUUCGUGAGCAGACAGAAGGAGAGUAUAGCUCUUUGGAACACGAGAGUGCAAGGGGUGUGAUUGAAUGCUUGAAGAUUGUCACUCGAACCAAGUCUCAGCGGAUUGCAAAGUUUGCCUUUGACUACGCCACCAAGAAGGGGCGGGGCAAGGUCACAGCUGUCCACAAGGCUAACAUCAUGAAACUUGGGGAUGGAUUGUUCCUGCAGUGCUGUGAGGAAGUUGCUGAACUGUACCCCAAAAUCAAGUUUGAGACAAUGAUCAUAGACAAUUGCUGCAUGCAGCUCGUGCAGAAUCCCUACCAGUUCGAUGUGCUUGUGAUGCCCAAUCUCUAUGGCAACAUUAUCGACAAUCUGGCUGCUGGCCUGGUUGGGGGUGCUGGUGUGGUCCCUGGUGAGAGCUACAGUGCAGAGUAUGCAGUGUUUGAGACGGGUGCCCGGCACCCAUUUGCUCAGGCAGUGGGCAGGAAUAUAGCCAACCCCACAGCUAUGCUGCUGUCAGCUUCCAACAUGCUGCGGCAUCUCAAUCUUGAGUAUCACUCCAGCAUGAUCGCUGAUGCGGUAAAGAAGGUGAUCAAAGUUGGCAAGGUACGGACUCGAGACAUGGGCGGCUACAGCACCACAACCGACUUCAUCAAGUCUGUCAUCGGCCAUCUGCACCCCCAUGGGGGCUAGAGCCCUUUAUUCCCUCCAACCUCACAAGGACCAUACUACCUACACAUCCCUUCAGUACAGUGGACCAGGGAAGAGACCUUGAACCUCUAGACAGUGGACCAUAAUUGCUUUUUCUGGGCAGAGCCUAGGUUGUCCUGGGUGGGGCUGGCUUCCUUAGGGAGCUCUGUACUGGGUGGUGGUGGUGGUUGUUAGGGAUGGGGGCCUAGGCCACAGGAUGAUGACACUUCUCCCCACAGGUUCGAACCUCUGACAUGGGCGGC